CGAACAGCCAUCAAAAUACUGAUUCAAAAUACACAUCUUUCACUGGACACACAAAUGGGUGCGCGCAGCAAAAUGCAGCCCUAAUGGCGAAUGUGUGCGAACGUUCACCGAGGGAAGAGGUAUGGGACGACAGCUGGCAUGGCAUCCAGACGGUAAUCUGGUGGCUUUAGCAUUAAGUUGUAACCGCUUUAAGAUAUUUGACAUAGCUGAAGGCGAACUAAUACAGUGCAUUCGUCGCCGGAGAAUGAUGUUGCAUUUCACCCAAGUGGAAAUUUCUUGGUGACUGGCGGCGAUGACGAUACAAUAAGAUUGCUUGAUUUAUUAGAAGUUGCUCGUUUGGAAAUCUAAUUUGCAUACAUUUGAUGCCAAUAGCUCCCGCAACAAACAAGCCAGUUCUCAAAGAGUCCAAAUUGAUUUUAGUCAUGCAACCGC